UACAGAGGGGGCAAGCGUUAUUCGGAAUUAUUGGGCGUAAAGGGCGCGUAGGCGGCCAGGCAAGUGGAAGGUGAAAUCCCUCGGCUUAACCGAGGAACUGCCCUCCAAACUGCUUGGCUUGAGACCGGGAGAGGUGAGUGGAAUUCCCAGUGUAGCGGUGAAAUGCGUAGAUAUUGGGAGGAACACCAGUGGCGAAGGCGGCCCGCUGGGCAGUGGCUGACGCUGAGGCGCGACAGCGUGGGGAGCAAACAGG
rnacentral:rRNA from 1 species